ACGGAGGUCUAAUCCCAAUGGGGCUUUUCCAGUAGCCACACAUUGUUGGAAACUCCUCAUACUGUAACACCUGUGGUUUGCCUGACUCACAAGACUGCUUCUUAGGCCUGUGGGUAGGAACUACAAGACAGUU
ensembl:snoRNA